rnacentral:rRNA from 1 species
CCUACGGGUCGCAGCAGUGAGGAAUAUUGGUCAAUGGACGAGAGUCUGAACCAGCCAAGUAGCGUGAAGGAUGACUGCCCUAUGGGUUGUAAACUUCUUUUAUAUGGGAAUAAAAUGUUCCACGUUUGGGAUUUUGUAUGUACCAUAUGAAUAAGAAUCGGCUAACUCCGUGCCAGCAGCCGCGGUAAUACGGAGGAUCCGAGCGUUAUCCGGAUUUAUUGGGUUUAAAGUGAGCGUAGGUGGAUUGUUAAGUCAGUUGUGAAAGUUUGCGGCUCAACCGUAAAAUUGCAGUUGAAACUGGCAGUCGUGAGUACAGUAGAGGUGGGCGGAAUUCGUGGUGUAGCGGUGAAAUGCUUAGAUAGCACGAAGAACUCCGAUUGCGAAGGCAGCUCACUGGACUGCAACUGACACUGAGGCUCGAAAGUGUGGGUAUCAAACAGGAUUAGAUACCCUUGUAGUC